AUGUGUCAGUUCCUCAGAUUAUCUGCCAGGUCGCACAGUGAGGGUCUUUCCUUGCUGGGGCUGUCGCCCGACAGCAAGCAUCUCUUAAGUCCCUGGGAGAGAAAAGAGUACUGGUCUUGCACUGCUUGCUCAGGAGUGUUACUAAGGUGCCCACUGGAGCUCCUGCGUUGGGAGGUGCAGAUGAUGUGGGGUCCGGGGAUUCAACUUCAGAAAAGAGGAGAAUUGUUUUUAUUCUCUAGCCAAUAAGAAUUUGUAAGAAAUCAAAAUGUUAAAAAUUGGUUGUUUGAAACCAUUUUUCCAUGCAUUUUUAUUGAGAUAUGAUACCCACGCGGGGUCAGGAACUCAUCUUGUUGGACCUUACUGAGGGGCUCCAAAGUGCUCGCCGGGAGGAAGAAUAAUUUCAGGAGUGAGUUUUAAAUUUCAAUUCAUUUAAGUAUUUAAUUUGUUUUAAAACUCUAAUUUAUAGGCAGUGUUUGAAAACAGACUUCUGGCUCCAUUGCCUGACGUUUACAAAAGGAAGCGCAAAACCCCUUGGUGCAAGUUUACUGCACAGGAGCUGGCGGUGGGGAAGCAAGGGGCGGGUGCAGCCCACUCCUGGGCAAGCAGUGCAAGGCCACCACUGUUUUUUCUCCCAGGGACUCAUAGAUGCCUUUGAACUCAUUCCACCUGCCCUGACUUCGGCCAAGACGAAGGAUUUUUAAGUGAUUUGGGUUUUUAGCAUCAUCAUCAGCACCACAUUAAAACUAUCAGAAGCACCAUGUAUUAAAACAAAAAUUAAAGCCUGAACUAGCUGAUUAUGGUUUUCUGACAUCCCCCUUUGAAUUAUCCACCUAGAAAAUUUAAAGGCUUUUCAACUUGAGGGUUUUUAUUAUUGUCAUUAAUUUUAAAUUCUCAGUAACAUGUCUUUGAAAAGACUAAAAAAUCUUAAGUGUUCACCGAUUGCUGUUGUAAUGCUACCCAUUUUACAGUUGAGAAAACUGAGGUUCAGGCUGCCCUUACAGGAGGGACAGAGGGAAGAAAGCUCUAGGAAUUUAAGCUUGAGAAAAAGUGCUUAACAGGGUGCAGGCAGGGCCGGGAGACCUCCUUAAGGCAUCUUACAGCCACUCCAAGAGUCCUGAGUAUCUCCCCUAAAAAAUGCCACACUUUUUCCAAUGCCAACCCCUGCUGCUGCUUGGAGAAUGCCAUCUCUGAAACCCCAGCGCACCGCCUCACUCUCAACCACCCAUUUCGGGGGAGAUAACCUUGCAGAUGGCGCCAGAGCGGGCGGUUUUUCGUUCCGUUGUACAUAGGGUCACUACUCGACGGCACCUAAGAACAACCACCUCGCAAAACCAUUUCUCUGAGGCAGAAACAGUGACUUAGAUGACUGCCCCACAGGCCUACACAGCUUCCUCAACAACCAGCUCCCCCGGGCUGACGCAGCGGCCUGCGAGGAUGCACACUCCUCUCAGGCCCCCGACAGGCAGUGAUAUCACCCAAUGGCAGUGCAGUGGAAGGCGGGCUUUGGGAAGCCGCGGGCAUUGAUAGGACCUGCCUCAGCUGAGAAAAGCGUCUUGACAGACCUACAGUAUGCACAGGUGGGCUUUGGGCGACCUCAGACAGUGAGAGGUGAUGCAGCCCUGAGAACUGCUACAAACAAGCAGGUUAAUGUUGUCUUUAAAUUGGUGGGAAUGCAACUGUAAUUGUAAUUAAAGCUUUAAUAAAGGCAGAGUAUGGAAGUUCCCACUUCCGGUUAUUUAUUCCCUGAAGAGAAUUUUAACAUACAACCCUGGGGUCAGAAGUAUGGGAAAGGUACAAGUAAGUGUGCUUAAAGAUUAUGUUUCUUUACUUUUCCUUAUUAAAAAUCCUUUCCUAACAAAAUUCAUAGGGCAGUAAUUUGAACACUUCCAUUUUUUCAUAAAAUUAAACCUGCUCUUUUGCAGGUUUGUAUAUUUUUACGAGUGGGUGAAAAACAAUUAAACCAAAUAACAUUCCUUGAGUAAUCUUGUUAUUGUAUGUUGUAUACAGAGUUGUUGUAAGAUUCUGUGAGCUAUUCCAUAUCAAACAUGAUACAGUGCCUGAAGUAUAGUGAUUGUGCAGUAGUUGUUAGCGAUUCCUGUUAUCACUACCAGCACCAUUCAUAUUAUUCAAGUAUCAGGGCAAAGAUCUAUGUUGUUUGGCAGAGCUUAUUGCAUAAUUCAAGUUAAAGGACAUAUACAGGAUUACAUGAGAUUGAAUUAUUCAGGCCAGAAGGCUCAGUCCCAGCAUUGACAUGUUUUAGCAGUUCCGGUGGCCUACAGGUACCUAGCUCAGCCAGUGCUAUGGCUUUGAAAAGCUCUGCUACUUUCCUUUUCCUUUCUUGUAAAAGAAUCAAAGAUGCCCUUUAGCAGGUUGAUUAAAUUCCCUUCUAUUCCUGGUUUGCUAAGACUUUUCAUCAAAAAUGGGUGUUAGAUUUUGUGAAAUGGUUUUCUGCAUCUAUUGGAAUGAUCGCAUGGUUUUUCUUCUUGAGUUAUCGUGGACUACACUGAUUAAUUUUCAAAUGUUAAUCAUGCAUUCCUGGUAUGAACCCCACUUUCUCAUUAUGUAAUACCUUUUAAUAUAUUGUAAAAUUUGAUUUGCCAAAAUUUUAUUUAGAAUUACUGUAUCUAUAUUACUGUAAGGUGGAGGGGGAGAGCUUGCACUCGGGAGGAGGAAGAGACAGGAGGUGGUGACAGUCCUGAAUAAGAUGGUCCCUAACUUGGUAAUUAAAUGAUAAGCCAAGGAAAUGGUCUCUACAGGGGUCCCUGACUUGGCAGUUAAACAGUAACGGGGGAGAUAGGAGAAAAAGGGUAUAAAACCCUAAGAAAACGACUGUCAGGUCACUCGGACACUUCCUCUAUCUGAGUAGCCCGCUUGACGCUCCCUAGCCAAGUGUACUUUCGCUACUAACCCCCUGCUAGCUAAUAAACCUCUGCUCGCUUGGCACUAUUUGUCUCAGUGUUUGAAUUCUUUCCUACACUGAAGACAAGAACCGAGGCUAUUCUCCGGUAACAUCUUCUGGUGCCAUGACUUGGACUGAAAACUUCCUCCUCCUUUGUCCAGAAAGUGUCUGACUAUUAACAAGAAGAUGGUAUGACUAUUAACAAGAAGAUGGUAAUAACGAGUGUCUGACUCUUUCCGACUCCGAAGAAAAGAGGCGCUUCCUCCAGUUUGCGGAGGUGUCUGAGUCAAACCCAAGAUGUGCAGCGGCCUCACAGGAACUUCCAACUUCACUUAAUUAACAACCAGGCUCCUCCGGGGAUGCACACGUAAGGGUUGGCCACCCAGCACUCUGAGCCCCCCUGAUUGUCUUAGACAACCGGGAGAGAAACCGAGACAGGUAAGAGAAGUGUCGGCCGACUAGAGGGGUCACACCCUCUAGGAGUCCUGCUCACAAAGGAGCACAUUUUCGGCCCAGAACACUUGACCUCCAACAAUAGUCAUGUCAAGUCGGUGAGUCUCUUUAAGAAACCAGUCACCCAUCUGCCUUUUGCACCUCUCAGCCCCAUCCAACUUCUAAAGAUACUUGCAUCUAUAUCCUCCAUGUGUGCUUUGCAAAAGGGAUCAGUGCUGUAUUGGUAAUAGGCUAAGGGAUAAUUGUUCCGGCGAAAGCCCUUUCUCCCUUUCCUGUUUAUACCGCCAUUGUGAAGCUAAACACAGGCGGCCUUUCCUUGAUCAGCUCCUUCUGCUUUUAUAUUAUAAAAGAAUGAAUAGGGACACACUGGGCUGCCUCAUUGAAUCAAGAAUCUUAAGGUUAUUCAUUAGACUAACUAAAGUUGUAUCUAUUACCCCCCUUACAAAGAACCUGAAUGUCCGAGAGUAUACAAAGAAGUGGGCUGCAGGAGUCUACUUUAUGACAGCCCUCCAUGCCCUGAUUCCCUCUUUCAGCGUGCAGGAACAAUUCCUAAAGUAUACAGAGAGGGGCAGACAUGAGGAACAGAUUUGUUGGUUCUGCAGAGAAAAAGAAGGGAGGGGCCCAAAGAGUAAUAAGAUUAUCCCCUCUUGGGUAUGGACAGAAGAGGGGCUCCCACAAAUGCUAAAUCAUCUCCUACACCCAGUUUCAAGAGACCCUCAGGAUUAUGCGAUGUGUCAGGGGGCAAGGCAAUCAAGAGGUCAGCUUCAAUGGAUAACAAAGUUUGCCAAUGAAGUGAAGACUUCCCAGACAGAGGCACAAAGGACCUCCACCCUAAAAUGGCUGGCAGGGUAUACGAUAAUCAGUUUCUUGGGAAACAAAGACAUCAACAAAUAUAUAGGUUCAUGUCCCGUCAAAACCGCAGACGUGAACAAGGACCCCUAAGACAGAGGCAGCAGGAAGUUUCUAGAUAAGAAACUUCAGGUGCGGGCUACAAAGUAAGACUAGUUAAUUCUGGAAGCCCAGGCCUGAGAAAGGACGCCUUCUCCAGGCAGUGAUUUAACAUAGGGGGUGCAAGAGAUGUCCUACCCCCUAUGACUCACUGUCUUCCUUUCCAGAUGGGAAACUAAAACUCGGUACCACCAGCCUCGCCUCUGGGAUGUAUCCUAAAAAAUUGGGACAGGUUUGACCCUCAAACCCUGAAGAAAAAGAGAUUAGUCUUCUUUUGUAACACCACAUGGCCUCAAUAUAAAUUGGGAGAUAGAGAAAUCUGGCCAGAACAGGGGAGUCUAAAUUAUCAUACAUACCAUCCUACAGCUGGAUCUGUUUUGCCAGAAACAAGGCAAAUGGACAGAGGUCCCUUAUGUCCAGGUUUUUAUGGUCUUAAGAGAAAAUCCAGAACUGUGUAAAAAGUGUAAGAUAGACCCCACAGUUCUCUCCAUCAUUACAAACCAAGAAUGGACACCUUAGACCCAAACCUUGCCAACCUUACAACCGCACCCUUAGAUACCAAAGAAAUGUCUGUACCUCCUACUCCUCCCUGCUCCAAUUCCUUGCCCACAGCACCUCACCACCUUACCUGUGCUCCCUUCAAGAAUUGGCUGGCCCUAAUGGACCAGUCGGGGUACAGGUUCCCUUUUCAGUACAGUACAUAGGAAAGCUAAAAACAGAGCUAGGAAGUUUCUCUGACGACCCUAACAACUAUAUAGAAAAAUUUAAGAACUUAACGCUCACCUUUGAUUUGGGUUGGAAAGACAUAAUGAUAAUCUGUAACCACACGCUCACCUAGGGAGAAAGAUUGAAUCUCACUGAGGCAGCCAGAUGAUUUGCAGAAGGGCUAUAUAUACAAAACCAACAGGCCUAUCCCAUGGGCACCGCCGUAGUCCCAGGCAUAGACCUGGGAUGGGAUUAUAAUAUCCAAGGAGGCAGAUGGGUGAGAGACCACAUGUUAGUGUGCCUGGUUGAGGGAAUGAAAGCUUGCAGGAUAAAACCUACCAAUUUCAAUGAACUGGUCACUGUCAACCAAGGGCCCCAAGAAAACCCCCCUGCCUUCCUAGAAAGACUAAAAGAAGCCCUCUUAAAGUAUACUGAUUUAGACCCAGGGUCACCAGAAGGUGAACUAGUCUUAAAAGAUAGAUUUCUAGCUCACAUUUCUCCAGACAUCAGGCACAAACUUCAAAAACAAGGGCUAGGACCCCAAACUCCCUUAAACGAACUAUUGAAGGUCUCUUCCUCGGUUUUCUAUAAUAGAGACCAGGAAGAGGAAGAAAGGCUCCGAGAAAAGGAGAAAAAAGAAGAGAAAAGGCAGGCCCAUCUCCUCGCCACCCUACAGGGCAGGCACCACCCCCUGCUGGUAGGAAGACCUAAAGAUACUCCACCCAGUGCAUGUCACAAAUGUGGUCAAGUUGGCCACUGGAAAAGAGAUUGCCCCCGGAACAAACUGCCCCAGAAGCCCUGUCCAAAUUGCCAACAACAUGGCCAUUGGAGGUGAGACUGCUCUGAGAGUUGAAGGACUCCCAGACCUGAUCCCUCAAUGGAAAUGGCCUUAAGCUGAUGGGACCCUGGGCUCCAAGAGGCUCCCGGCGAGAACACCAAAAGCAUCGAUGUCAGUGCGGAAGAGCCAAAGGUCACCCUAGAUGUAGCGGGAAGGGUGAAACCCUACCACAUUAAAAAUACAUUUGAAGAAACCCUGAGCCAACAUCAGGAGUAGACAAGUGAACCCAUAGAAGACUUGAAGUAUCUGUUCAAAAGAAAACAAGACAAUAACAACAGAUAAGUCAAAAUGCAUUGUGUUCUUUUCUGUACCAUAACACUUUCGCUUGCCCAACUAACACAGCCCGAACCUAUCUCCCCAUUUAUUAAACCAUUACAGUCAUAAAGGCGCUUACACAUACCAAAUACAACCAGUCCUGCUAGAUUUGUCUACAGGCUUGGGGACAGUCCACAGAAAGCUGGCCUGCCUCUUGACAGGUCUAGGCUCAAACGUCAGGGUUUCUUCACUAUACCCUCUCCUUUGAGCACAGGGUGUGUUCAAAAGUUACAAUAACCAAACUGUACACCCUACCACAGGGGCUGUGUACCGAGGAGUACAAAUAAGAGGGGGGCAAAGCCCGUUGUACAUUUACUCACCGGGUCCCCAAAGAUACUCAUAUCAGGUAGGAUCUCUAAACCGCUCCCAUUGCAAUGUAACUGUCACAAUAACACACAACCUCGGAAACCUAAUGACGUGUUUCCCUGAUCCUCUGCCCUCAUCCAGCUGGUUAACCUUCCCUCCCAAUACCUCUUCAGACACACAGACUACACUAAAGGGUUUUCCAGGGGAGACCACUGGGUUGCAACCAUUUGGCCCUUCUGGCUGCUUACACAUGGAAAUCUGACAACAACAGAAACAAUUACACCUUGAUACAUGAAACUGCCAAGGAAAAAUGUUUUCAUAGAAUCCAUCCACAGAAUGAUCAUCUGGGAAAACCUAGAAAACAAUGCCACCCAUAACAUUAAAAAAAUAAUAAUAAAAUAACAUUACCUCCUGCUUUAGUCCACUAACAGUGGCUGCCCUAGCUGCCACAUACCUUUGGAAAUAUACCUUCACUUUCAAAAAACCAACUGCAUACAAUUACACCUCAUCAGGUGUAUACCAUGUCUCAGGUUGUCUUCCAUUAUCUUCAGGCCUAUAUUAUGUAUGGGGAACUACAGCUUAUAUAUGCCUACCCACAAAUUGGAUGGAAUUAUGCACAGUAGGAUAUGUCCUCCCUCCUGUGUCUUUAGCUGAAGCAGGAGCUCCUAUCUCUUUACCUUUAAACACCACUCAUAAGGUGACAAAAAGAACAGGGCCCUAAUUCCCAUAUUAAUAGGACUUAACAGUCUUAUCAGAACGGCCUGCCUCGCAGCCAGAACCACCUGGGGCGCUAAGAACUGCUCAAGUUUAUACAAACCUCUCACUUGAACUAGCCCAGCUCAAUACCCAGGUAGCAACCUCUAUAGCUACUCUACAAACCCAAAUAAAUUCUUUGGCAGCUGUAGUACUUCAGAAUCAAAGAGGAUUGGACAUGUUGGCAGCUAGCCAUGGGGGUGUAUAUGCGCCAUGCUAGAUGAACAGUGCUGUUUUGAGUGAACCAAAUUGGCCAAGUCCAAGAACAUAUCCGCCACUUUUUAGAUAAGGUCAGACAACUCCAAACACAAGCCGAACAAGGAUAGAACUCUUGGUCAUCCAUCCGGCCGUGGGGAUCUUGGCUGAUACCAUUCCCUGGCCCUUUAAAGUCUUUGAUUCUUCUUUUACUGUUUAUACCCUGCCUCCUUAAAAUACUAACUCGUUUUGUAUCCUCCAGAUUACAAAAGUUUCAAUUACAAAUGGCUGUAAUUCAGACAUCGUCAAAUAAUACAAGCCCUGAAAGCCCUUUGGAUCAAGCUGCCCAACGCUUCCAUCCUCGGCUCCCAAAGUCAAGGAAACCCCCCAUUAGGGAACAAGUGCCUCUCCUACGGCCAGCUCUACACCCCAUUGACAACAAAAAGUAGCUACAGAAGACAGACCACCCCCCUUCAACAACCCCAAAGAUUUGGGAGAAUGGCACUUGAGGGGGGAAAGAUGUAAGGGGGAGGGGGAGAGCUUGCACUCAGGAGAAGGAAGAGACAAGAGGCGGUGACAUUCCUCAAUAAGAUGGUCCCUAACUUGGUAAUUACAGGGGUCCCUGACUUGGCAGUUAAACGUUGACGGGGAGAUAAGAGAAAAAGGGUAUAAAACCCUAAGAAAAUGACUAUCGGGGCACUCAGGCUCUUUCUUUAUCUGAAGAGCCGCCUUGACGCUCCCUAGUCAAGUGUACUUUCACUACUAACCCUCUGCUAGCUAAUAAACCUCUGCUUGC